rnacentral:rRNA from 1 species
GCGUUAAACAUUCCGCCUGGGACUACGGUCGCAAGAUUAAAACUCAAAGGAAUUGACGGGGACCCGCACAAGCGGUGGAGCAUGUGGUUUAAUUCGAUGCAACGCGAAAAACCUUACCACUCCUUGACAUGGAAAUUAUACCUAUUCGAAGGGAUAGGGUCGGUUCGGCCGGGUUUCACACAGGUGUUGCAUGGCUGUCGUCAGCUCGUGUCGUGAGAUGUUGGGUUAAGUCCCGCAACGAGCGCAACCCUCAUCCUUAGUUACCAUCAGGUAAUGCUGGGGACUUUAAGGAGACUGCCGGUGAUAAACUGGAGGAAGGUGGGGAUGAUGUCAAGUCAUCAUGGCCCUUAUGGAGUGGGCUACACACGUGCUACAAUGGUGGCUACAAUGGGCUGCAAAGUCGCGAGGCUAAGCCAAUCCCUUAAAAGCCAUCUCAGUUCGGAUUGUACUCUGCAACUCGAGUGCAUGAAGUUGGAAUCGCUAGUAAUCGUGGAUCAGCACGCCACGGUGAAUACGUUCUCGGGUCUUGUACACACUGCCCGUCACGCCAUGGGAAUUGGUUUCACUCGAAGCUAACGACCUAACCGCAAGGAGGGAGUUAUUUAAAGUGGGAUCGGUGACUGGGGUG